UAGACGGUGCAAUAGGACGGCUCUGCCUGA
rnacentral:sRNA from 1 species